UUGCUGCCAUAUCACGCUGAAACACUGGUUCUCGUACAAUCACCAAAGUUAAACAACAUCGAACCUGGUCAGUAUCAAGAUGGGUGACCGCUUGGGAAUACCA